UACGGAGGGUGCAAGCGUUAUCCGGAUUCACUGGGUUUAAAGGGAGCGCAGGCGGACAUGUAAGUCAGUGGUGAAAUACCUGAGCUUAACUCGGGAACUGCCAUUGAUACUAUGUGUCUUGAAUAUUGUUGAGGUUUGCGGAAUGGGUCAUGUAGCGGUGAAAUGCAUAGAUAUCUGGAGGAACACCGGUGGCGAAGGCGGCAUCCUGGACCAACACUGACGCUGAGUGAGCGAAAGCCAGGGGAGCAAACGGG
rnacentral:rRNA from 1 species